rnacentral:rRNA from 1 species
AGUGAACGCUGGCGGCAGGCCUAAUACAUGCAAGUCGAGCGGCAGCGCGUCCGACCACCCUCGGGUGGUCGGAUGGCGGCGAGCGGCGGACGGGUGAGGAAUGCAUCGGAAUCUGGCCUCGUUGUGGGGGAUAACGUAGGGAAACUUACGCUAAUACCGCAUACGACCUACGGGUGUAAAGUGGGGGACCUUCGGGCCUCACGCGAUGAGAUGAGCCGAUGCCGGAUUAGCUAGUUGGCGGGGUAAAGGCCCACCAAGGCGACGAUCCGUAGCUGGUCUGAGAGGAUGAUCAGCCACACUGGAACUGAGACACGGUCCAGACUCCUACGGGAGGCAGCAGUAGGGAAUAUUGGACAAUGGGGGCAACCCUGAUCCAGCCAUGCCGCGUGAGUGAAGAAGGCCCUCGGGUUGUAAAGCUCUUUUGUCCGGAAAGAAAGCAAUCGGUUAAUACCCGGUUGUUCUGACGGUACCGGAAGAAUAAGCACCGGCUAACUUCGUGCCAGCAGCCG